rnacentral:lncRNA from 1 species
GUUCUUUGCUCAGCAGCCUUCAUGCCUCUGAUGCUUACAUGCUUAGUGAGCCCCAGGAUGCUAAGCGGCCUCUGAUUUUCCACAGCAGGGGGAAGAGACUCUUGUGUGACCACCCUGGGUCGGGACAACUUCCUGUUCCAUGUUUUCCCCAGAGGAAGGUGUGGCUGGGAGUGGGAAGGGUGUGGAGAAGCUUCUCGCUGGACAUCCACAAGGUGUUCUUUUCUUUCUGGCUGCUCUAGAAUCAACCAUUCAUCUAAGUGUAACCAGUAAUAUGAAUGGAGAGGCAGCCACGGACCAAAAUUUUACCACUGACACACAGCGGACCAUCAGUCCAGAGGCAACCACAGGCCGGUACCUGUGGAACUCGCCAACCUUUACAUAUGGCAGAAAUUCUCUAUGACCUGUGACGAUCAUCACUUUCUAAGAAGAUUCUGGGCUUCUGGAACAACCCAUCACCCACUAUGCUACAAGAGGCUCAUAGUAGAAAACUGGUGAAAUAUGCACUGUACCCAGCUGAGGAGAAACAGCAAGGAAACCAUCCUGGCUAGGCAGAGGGAGCUGUUCACAGAUGGGAGAGGAGCAUUUCUUGGCUGUUUUCCCUUAAUAUGGGGA